rnacentral:rRNA from 1 species
UCAGGAUGAACGCUGGCGGCGUGCCUAACACAUGCAAGUCGAGCGAGAAACCUUAAUUGACACUCGGUUGAUUUAGAGGCGGACAGCGGCGGACGGGUGAGUAACGCAUAGGCAACCUGCCCUUCACACAGGGAUAGCCUCGGGAAACCGGGAUUAAAACCUGAUGAUACAUUUUAUACUCAUGUAUGAGAUGUCAAAGAUUUAUCGGUGAAGGAUGGGCCUGCGUCUGAUUAGUUAGUUGGUGAGGUAACAGCUCACCAAGGCAAUGAUCAGUAGCCGACCUGAGAGGGUGAUCGGCCACAUUGGAACUGAGACACGGUCCAGACUCCUACGGGAGGCAGCAGUGGGGAAUAUUGCACAAUGGGCGAAAGCCUGAUGCAGCAACGCCGCGUGAAGGAUGAAGGCCCUUGGGUCGUAAACUUCUGUCCUAUGGAAAGAAAAAAUGACGGUACCAUUGGAGGAAGCCCCGGCUAACUACGUGCCAGCCGCCGC